rnacentral:piRNA from 1 species
UGAUUACAAAAUGUCUGGGAACAAAUGA